rnacentral:lncRNA from 1 species
ACACGCCCCCCGAGCCACGUCCUUCCCUUUAACCCCGAAGUGGGUGGGCAGGUGGGACAGGUACAGGUGUGAACAGGUGUGAUGGGUGCAGGUGAGAUGGGUGCAGGUGAGAUGGGUACAGGUGUGCCAGGUGUGAUGGGUACAGGUGUGAACAGGUGUGAUGGGUGCAGGUGUGACGGGUACAGGUGUGACGGGUACAGGUGAGAUGGGUACAGGUGUGCCAGGUGUGAUGGGCAUAGGUGUGAUGGGUACAGGUGUGAACAGGUGUGAUGGGUACAGGUGUGAUGGUACAGGUGUGAACAGGUGUGCUGGGCACAGGUGUGACGGACACCACAGGUGCGAUGCCCACCCCAAUCCAUGCAACAGCUGCCACAGGUGUGUUGCAGGUGUGCCA